CAUUCUAAAAAAUAGUUGAAAAGUUCGUGUGAAAAAAGAUGCUUAAUCUCCGCAGAAUGCCAGUAGCCAUUGUCAAACAUUUGCUAGGGAACGAGUCAGAUUUAGGUACUACAAACCCUAUUUCCUGAGCUUCCUCAAGCAGCUCUACCGUCAGACCCAUUUUUUGUAGAGAGUGAAAGGGUGAGAAAAUGAGCAAUGCAGGUAGCUUGGUUGCAGAGGCAGUGUGGAAGGCGAUUGAGUCAACUCGUUCAGUCACCGACGAUCAGCUCUCCGUGUUAGACUCCUGCAAUUCUUGUUUGGUAAGAACUUGGAGAGAGCAACGAGGAUAGUGGAUCAGAGUGGUGUCAAGAGGGUUUUGGGUGAGCCCAGUGGACGUUCCAUCUUUCAGGUCGUCGGAGAAUCGCGGAGGAAGGAGGAGUACUUCUGCUUUGCCGAGCAGUAUUGUGCUUGUUAUUCAUUCUUCUAUGACACCAAAAACAAGGGAGAGCAGCUUUGUGUGAGGGAGCUUCCUCUCUUGCUCAUCCAAUUUUUCUACUGAUUCGAGCGUUAUUCUAAUCAAUCUAAUCUAAACUACGUGGAGGGUUAUUCGAACUUCCUCAUCCAUUUUUAAGUUCCUUGAAAUCAAAAACGAAAAAAGUAGGGAAGUGUUGUAAUUUUUGCCAUGUUUCUUGUU